UGGGGAAUCUUCCGCAAUGGACGAAAGUCUGACGGAGCAACGCCGCGUGAGUGAAGAAGGUUUUCGGAUCGUAAAACUCUGUCUUUUGGGGCGAACGUGAGUAUGGUGAACAAUCAUAGUCAGUGACGGUACCAAAGGAGGAAGCCACGGCUAACUACGUGCCAGCAGCCGCGGUAAUACGUAGGUGGCAAGCGUUGUCCGGAAUUAUUGGGCGUAAAGAGCGCGUAGGCGGGAUAGUCAGUCUGUUGUAAAGUGCGGGGCUCAACCCCGUGAUGGCAAUGGAAACAGCUAUUCUUGAGUGCAGGAGAGGAAAGUGGAAUUCCCAGUGUAGCGGUGAAAUGCGUAGAUAUUGGGAGGAACACCAGUGGCGAAGGCGACUUUCUGGACUGUGUCUGACGCUGAGGCGCGAAAGCCAGGGGAGCGAACGGGAUUAGAUACCCCGGUAGUCCUGGCCGUAAACGAUGGGUACUAGGUGUGGGAGGUAUCGACCCCCUUCCGUGCCGGAGUUAACGCAAUAAGUACCCCGCCUGGGGAGUACGGUCGCAAGACUGAAACUCAAAUGAAUUGACGGGGUCAUAGCUGUUUCCUG
rnacentral:rRNA from 1 species